rnacentral:lncRNA from 1 species
CCCACACUGGCCUAGGGAGAAGAGAGCAAGAGAACGGCAUUCGGGCCAGUUUGGAAAAGAAGCAGCCUCGUGUCGCGGGAAGCAUUUGUUCCAAAUUCUGUGCUGGUCUGGGACUGCUCUCCAGCCUGCUUGAUCAAGUACCUCAGAACCCAGUCCUACGUAUCCUCCCCUGGACCGGCUGGUACAUGCAGCAUGGCUGACGCGUGGAGUAGUUCAGCGCCCGGGAUCCAAACCUGAGAACCUGGGCCACUGAAGAGGAGCACACAGAACCUUAAUCACUCAUCCGUGGGGCCGGCCUCAGCAGGGGCAUCUCAGAGAUCAUCUCGAGUAAUGGAGCCUGACUUCUGUGAUGAGUGAAAGAAUCCAGAACAGACUGACGGCCUGAUCCUGCAAAGAACUUUGACUUCCUUACAAGGAGUGAAAAUUGUACAGCCUGAAGAUUAAGUUUUUGAACUGGAUGCCCAUCCCAGCAUGAUGGUUGUCCCGGGCACAAGGGAGUAUAAAGAAUAGGGCAUUGAGGGAACCCAGAACAGGGACUGUUUGAUGCCACAUAAUGGCAAACAUCCCCAGAUUAGACAGAGAUCUUAAGCGUUGUGGUAAUGGAUGCUUCUGUUAUUGGUGAGAAGUCUUGUCUGUGAGUGGAAUGGGAAUCUUGCCUCUGGGUUUCAUCACAGCUUCAUCGACUGUGGUGAGCUCUCUAGCAAAGGUGUGACAAAUCUUACUGAGCACGUUUUGUUUAUGAAGAGCUGUACUGGGUGCAAGAGGUAUAAGAAAGUAUAGGUACAGUACUGUAAGCCAGAAGUUCAUGAUGUGGUUAGGGAGAUGCACCAUAUUCUUGUGAAAAGAUGAUUAAGUCGGGACCAACAGGGCAUGUAAAAGCCAGGAACAACCAGGGAAUGUUCUAGAAGUGCCAGGGACGGAGUGGGAGCUGUUAGGUCAGGGAAGACUUGAGGAGAAGGAUAGGACUGAAGCUGGGCCUUGAAAGGCUGGAGACUUUCAGUGAUUGGAAAUGUGAAAAGGAGACUAUUCCAGGUGGAGGAAGACCAUGCUGAGGCCCUGGUGAGGAGAUGACCCCUGAGCUUGGGUGGAGAGGAAAGAAGAAUGUCCUGGGAGGUAAGGCUGAAGGAUCACACAGAUGUGGAGGCCACGCAGAGUUUGAAGUUCAUCAUGUUGGAUCCUCCUGAUCCGGGAAGGGAGCCGAGAAAAGCAGGAUGUCAGGAAGGUGAAGGCAGAAGAGAGUGGCAGUCACCUCAGGAGGAGCUCACAGGGUCCCAUCUCAGUGACAAGGCUUAGGUCUGCAGAGCUGUGUGGACUGUGCUGUGUUCUAAGCCACGGAUUGUAAAUGGAGCCCUCCUUCCUCGGCAUCCCUCUUCCUCCCCGGAAGCCUCUGCUCACCAUCUGACUAAACUGGGGCCACCCAAGCUUCUGCUCAGGGAGUUUCCCCACAAGCCUGGAGCCAAAGCGAAACAAAGGCAGGUUCAGUUUUUUAAAGUUCACUGCUUGAUUCUUAUUUGCUCACUCUUGGAUUCCCAUUAGUGCUGCCCUGACUGAUUUGAGGCCUUACUAGACAUUUGGACGAUUUCUUAUUUUCAUAGCUAACUCAGAAGGUCAUCUUUGAGCUCUGGAAGCAUCUGCUCAACCUGACAGACAGCUAAGUCAGAGCCACAGAUCUGGGGGUGGGGGUGGGUCUGCCCUGGUCAGGGAGGGCUCCCCUACUAAGAGCCCUGGGAGGAAAGGAGCGUGGACCCCCCUUUCUUGAAACUUUUUUCCGUAUUUUCUAAACACCUCAAUGUGUGGCCUGUAGGCAAACAGCUUGGGUAUCACCUGGACGUUAGUUAAAAAUAUAGAAUCUAAGGCUCCACCCCAGCCCUACUGGAUCAGGAUCUGCAUGUUUUACAAGAUCCCCAGGGAUUCAUGCGCACAUUAGCGUUUGAGAAGUGCUGCUUUCAACCUAGUAGGAUGGAAGGAUCACCUGUGGAGCUUUUAUUUAUUUAUUUAUUCUUUUUGAGGAAGAUUAGCCCUGAGCUAACUACUACCAAUCCUCCUCCUUUUGCUGAGGAAGCCUGGCCCUGAGCUAACAUCUGUGCCCAUCUUCCUCUACUUUAUAUGUGGGACGCCCACCACAGCAUGGCAUGCCAAGCAGUGCCAUGUCUGCACCCGGGAUCCAAACCAGUGAACCCCGGGCUGCCGAGAAGCAGAAUGUGUGAACUUAACCGCUGCACCACUGGGCUGGCCCCUGGCUGUGGAGCUUUUAAAACAUUCUGUGGCAUAUUACAUACCCCAGACAAAUUAAGUCAGAAUCUCUAGGGGUGGAGCCCUGGCACUGGUAUUUUUUAAAAAGUUUUCAGAUGAUUCUAGGUACAGCUUGAGUUGAAAACCACUGGCCUAUGGUCUGUGUUAACCACUCUGUUUCCAAGGCACCAAAUUCCCCUCAUACUGUAAAACAAAACACCACUAACCUUUUAGCCACAGACCCCGAUGGAGUGAAAACAAUACUCACUAAGCAUUUAUUCAGAUCUGGUUAGAAAAUUCCUGGCCAAGAACAGAUGUAACCACUGGAUUCACUCAAAAGUGUCAAGAUGGUAGCUUGUUAAAAUUCCUAGUCUUGAGUAUUCUCUUCUGGCCUUGGAGGGUGGCUCUGUGUAGAACCUGGAGGACAGUUGCCUUGCCCCUAAUCUUGGUUUCUGAGAAGAUGGUACCCAGGCCUGUGCCACAAGGAGCCAUGUUGCCUGCCUAUGGACAGCAGAAACACACUGAGGAAUUCAGAGUAUUGAUUUUUCACACUAAUGGUCACUUUCAGGAAGCAAAAAAGGGUUUAAAAGCAGUUUUCCACCAAUCAUCAGCCUAGGGUAGAUGUCAAACUUUAAUAACUAUCGCGGUUAUUUCAAUAUAUCUUCUUUCCCAUUGAGGGCUUUCAGUUACUUAAUGCCAGGGUGCUGGGAACCUUCAGGGGUGAAUGUCAAUGAGUGUCAAGUCAGUCUCUGAUUUUCCUCAGUGCUCCCAGCUCUGCUGAAACAUCGGGGAUUUUCCAUUGACAGAUUCCGAUCCUGAGCCAAUCUUGGUCAGGGCUUGGAGGGUAUUAGCAACUCUGUUUCUUCUUCUUGCCUUAUCCCUGCCUCUUGGUGCCCCCAGGAUGGCGAUGGACCUGAGCACUGCUAUAGGAGCUGUGGCCUUUCUCCUCAUUCCUUAUUUUUUGUCCUCUUAGAACUAGGUAUGAAUUGUAGCCUGGUUAUCUGAAGUCUACACAUGCUCCUUAACCCUUUCUAGAAACUUCUCUGGGGUGGAUCCUGCUUUGAACUAGGACAUCCUAGAAUUAGUGUGCUGAUCUUUGUCUGUCUGGGGUCUUCAGGUUCUGUGUCCACUCAGCACCUCAGCACCAUACAUACUGGUCUGCAUUAAGCUUGAGGUCACCUUGCCCCUUUGUGCACUGCAGUUGGGACCGCUGGACACUCGCCUCGGGGGCUCACAUCUUACAUGGCCUCAUUCCCUUGGCUGUGGCUACUUCUUUUCUUGGUUUUCUCUCUUUUCCCUUUGGCUUGGCAUUAUGGUCUCAGCAUAACUCAAUGCUCCUACCCCCACUCAUACCACAGGAGCAGCACCUGCUCAGAUGUGACCACAGAGACAAUGCCACAAGGGCCGUCAUUCUCAAUAACAGUAGUAACAUUAUUUUUUGCUGAUGAGGAAACGGAGUCGGAGAUGAACCAGACAGUGGUGGUGAGAAGAUCCCAACUUUCUUGCUUCUAGUUUGAAACAUUUAAGUCUUCUUCAGUUCCACCUCAGAACAUUGCAAGUCAAGAUGACCACGGAAAGAAAUCUGAAUAACUAAACUGAAAUCCUGCAUUGAUGCUAAACUGAAGUGACACUUAUGUUUGGAGUUGGGGUUGGUUCAUUCAUACAUAUAUGUACAUAUAUAUAAAAUACAUAUUUACAAGUAUAUAUAAAUACAUAUAUACUGAAAUAUGUGUGUACAUUUACUGAGAAUGUAGCAGGGGUGUUUGUGAAGUGGGCACCAAGUCCAGAAAUAGACAUUGUUGCCUCCACUGAAGGUAAAGGACAGCCCACUAAUUACCCUGUGAGGUGCCUGGGCUGCCAGUGCUGGCGACUCCUACAGGGACAGAACACUUACUAGUCUCUGGAGGCAGACUCAUGAGGCAGAUCAGAGGAUUUUGGACCUUGCUGCUGUCUGUGAAAGAAUUUAUAAUUUGUACCUUGCUGUGCCCAGGUUGCUCCUAGGCACCCUCCCUCUGGUGCUUGAAGUUGGUAUGCCUUCUGUCCAGACAAGUAGCUUCUUGGGCUAUUAAUUAUGUAGUUAAAACUCUAAACCUUCUCAUUUUAAAUGAUAAUAAAAUGUUUAAAGGUAUGUUGCUUAUAAACCUAUUUUACUUUUUGUCUUUCCAUUUGUUCCCAUUUUAUUGCCUUUCAUCGUGGGCUGGCUGACUGGCCAAGCCAAGCUAAUUACUGCCUUAUUGUUUUUGGAAGACUAGGUGACACCAAGAUUAUUAAUGAGUCAAUAAAUUGGGGCUACAGAAGAGCCUGGCUAUUUUUCCCUUGCCCGUUCUCUCGUUAGGCAUGUUGUUCUGCUGUGGCUAAAUCUGAGAGGAUGGGCACUGUGAAGUUGGCGGUUGAUGUGGCUGAGAGCACUGGUUCAUAAAGAAACAUGGAGUAGGCAGAGACUGCAGGGACCUGGAGAGUGAGAAGGUCAGGGGGACCACGUAUUGGGAGAAAGGAAAGGAGGAGAAUUCCAAACUGAGAGUUCCACCCUCUGUCAGUUAGAAGCAUGUCCACUCUCUGGUCAAUACCCAUGGCUUGUGCUAGCAUUGAAUCAGUGUUAAGUUGACUCCUUCAUGAAUACACUCACCUCAAUUAGAAUGGCACCAGCAGUUACCUGGUUUCUAUGGAAAAGGGUCAGAGUAGGUGAUGAAAUCUUUCUUCUUCCUGUCUUCUCGUUAAAUCUAACCCAUUCUUUUUUUUUUUCAGUUUCUUCUUUUUUUAACCCCUUCUUAGACUGAAAUAAAAUCUAGCAAAACCUUUAUCAGAGAC